CCUACGGGGGGCUGCAGUGGGGAAUAUUGGACAAUGGGCGAAAGCCUGAUCCAGCCAUGCCGCGUGUGUGAAGAAGGCCUUCGGGUUGUAAAGCACUUUCAGUGGGGAAGAAAGCCUUGGGGCUAAUACCCUCGAGGAAGGACAUCACCCACAGAAGAAGCACCGGCUAACUCCGUGCCAGCAGCCGCGGUAAUACGGAGGGUGCGAGCGUUAAUCGGAAUUACUGUGCGUAAAGCGCGCGUAGGCGGUCUGAUAAGCCGGUUGUGAAAGCCCCGGGCUCAACCUGGGAACGGCAUCCGGAACUGUCAGGCUAGAGUGCAGGAGAGGAAGGUAGAAUUCCCGGUGUAGCGGUGAAAUGCGUAGAGAUCGGGAGGAAUACCAGUGGCGAAGGCGGCCUUCUGGACUGACACUGACGCUGAGGUGCGAAAGCGUGGGUAGCAAACAGGAUUAGAUACCCCUGUAGUC
rnacentral:rRNA from 1 species